UACGUAGGGUGCAAGCGUUAAUCGGAAUUACUGGGCGUAAAGCGUGCGCAGGCGGUUGUGCAAGACAGAUGCGAAAUCCCCGGGCUUAACCUGGGAACUGCAUUUGUGACUGCACGGCUAGAGUGCGGCAGAGGGGGAUGGAAUUCCGCGUGUAGCAGUGAAAUGCGUAGAUAUGCGGAGGAACACCGAUGGCGAAGGCAAUCCCCUGGGCCUGCACUGACGCUCAUGCACGAAAGCGUGGGGAGCAAACAGG
rnacentral:rRNA from 1 species